rnacentral:rRNA from 1 species
AAUGUUGACCUCGGAUCAGGUAGGAAUACCCGCUGAACUUAAGCAUAUCAAAAGGGGGGGAGGAAA